AUCAUUGAAACACUAGUUCCUGUAUGAUCACCAAAGUUAAGCAAUAUCGAGCCUGGUUAGUACCUAGAUGGGUGACCUGUUUGGGAAUACCAGGUGCUGUAAG